rnacentral:lncRNA from 1 species
AAUUUCCCAGUUUUAAUUUCUGAUUUAGUGAUUGUGGAUAGAUGUGACUCUCAAAAUCAAAAGCUCUUUGAGGGGCUCUAAAUACCUUGUAACAGUGUGAGAGGGCUUUGAGGACAGCUGCUCUAGAACCUGCCUACCACUCCAGCCUCAUGGCCAGGGAUCCGCCCUUCCUCCUUCACAUUUUGUGUAUGAACUUCCAGUUCCAUACAAGAUGAAACAGACACAUCUCCUCCUACUUCUCCUGCUAAGUACGUCUAACAAGUCUGGAUAUUAUAAACAAAACAACCAUGAGAAGACUCCGAUACGCAAAGCGAAGAAGGCUAGGGGCCUCAGGACUCAAAGAAUGAUAUGUUACCAGGGUAUCGACAGAGGGAUAGUAUGGAGCCUGAACCCCCAGUCUGGCCCAACGACAAUGGGGCACCCACCUCAACAGGCGCAGACAGCUAAAUGGGUGGCCUGGGUUUCCACCCUUACCUGGUGGUAACAGAGAGCCCCCUCUCCCCCACACCAGGGCAGUAUCGAAUGGGGACUGCUAAAAACAGGAGAUUGCAAAGAGAUCUACGGUCUCAGAACAUCGUACCUAAAAUAUCCGGGAUACAAUCUGAAAUCACUUGUGGUACCAAGAACCAGAAAAGUCUCAACUAGAAUGAGAAAAGGUAAUUAACAGACACCAAUACUGAGACGACGGAGAUUUUGGAGUUGUCUGAUGAGAAUUUUAAAACAGCUGUCAUAAAAAUGCUUCGAUGAGCAAUUAUAACAUGCUUGAACUGAAAGAACAAGUAGAAAGUCUCAGCACAGAAACAGAAGAUUCAAAGAAGAAUCGUAUUCUUUGCCUGGGCCUUCAAAGAACCCCUCACAUUUUUGGAAUGACCACCCUCACUUGGUGCCUGGGCCAAGGCCCAUUCCUCUUCCUGGAGCACCGAUCUCUAGUGUCUUCUUUUAAAACCCUGCUUGUCCCAGAUGUCACCUCUUCUGGGAAGCCUUCUGCGGUUUCUGUGCUCCUUCCAUUCAAAGUAUCCUUCCCCGUAUCACUUAGAUUCAGGGCUCAUCGUUCUGUCAUUUGUCCCUCCCAUGCUCAUCGGUGUAAGGACUUGACAAAAAAGACUGUCUUAUCCCUGGUGCCUGGCUUAGUAUCUGGCUUAUAAUAAACACCCUCCAAAAAAGAUGUGUUGAAUGAAUGAAUAAAUCAAUGAAUAAAUGGGCAAUUUUCAGUGGUACUCUCUUUCUUAUUGAAUAUAAUUAAGCUCUGUGGCCUGGCAUUCAAUGCCCUACACGGACUGUGACACAUACCUUUUUGGUACCUGGCUUCCCUUAAUACAUCCUACGUCUCUGCUGUACCAGGAAGCACAGGGUUUUGAAAGGACCUUUUACUUCCCCAUAUUCCUACCCAACCAUGCUUGUCUGGACGCUCUUCAAUCAGCCCCAAAAAGUCCUCGCCCAUUUUUGCCACACCAAAAUUGUACCCAGUUUCACCACCCCACUCAGAUACCACCUCCCCCAGGACACACGUUCCCCGAUCGCCCUGCUGGAAGGAAUCUGCCCCUCGGGAGACACAGCAGUUCACUUAGCCUUUUCUUGUGUUAUUUCUCACCCCCUGCCCUGCAUGUUGUGGUGGUCUUGUUGUUUGUUUUAAUGCACUCACGGUAUUCUCUUCUAGAUUUAAAAAACUCUGUGGCUUCAGAGCAACUGUAGUCUGCUUCUGCCCACUGUGCCCCUAGCACAGACCCCUGUUUCUCCAAAAACUCAGUUUUGUUUUCUGAGAUAAUGGUGCUUGGCUCAUUGGGUUUCUGUGAAUAUGAAACAAAACGCACUAUUUAAAUUUUGGUAUUUGAAGGAAUAAAUGGAGGGAACAAGCCCCGUUGGCUGGACCUUCCAGACCUCUUUGGAAUCCCGCUCCGUUUCCGCUGCACUCACCCGGCUCCCAGGUCCUUCCUGUGCGCACGAUGGUGACGGAUGGACCUCAUAAGAUUGCUACAGCUCACCUGCCCUCCUCCCUUCCGCUCUCUCUGCCUCUCUACCCCCAUUCUCUACUCAGUGGCCAACUUGACCUUUUAAAAACAUAAAUCAGAUCAUAUUGCUUCUCUGCUCAAAACCUCCCAGUGGUUUUCCGAUCUGCAAAUAAGAGCCAAACUCCUUACCCAGGCUGCAAGGCCUCCUGUGAUCCGGCCCGCUGACCUCCCCUGCACUCAGGCUGAUGCAACCCAGCGGGCCUUCUUGCCCUGCCUGACUGUGGCCUCUCGGGCUUGCCCCACAGAGCUUUGCAUUUGCCACUUCCCCUGUGUGGCAUGACCUCUUCCUCACUUCAUUCGAGUGAGCUCUGCUCUCCAUUCUUACCUCCUUGGGAGGGACAACCCUAUGCAAAGUCACUCUCAGCCAUUUCAUAUUUUUCACCGCUCUUCGUACAACCUGAAAACAUCUGUCUUUAUUUACUCAGGUGAGCGUGCGUGCGUAUUGUCUUUCUUCUCCACCAGAAUUGUGAGCUCUGAAUGGAUGUAUUCACUGCUCCAUCCCCAGCCCCUGGAACACUGCUGGUACGUGACAUGGGAAUGACUGAAGGCUGGCUGGCUGGGGGCUUUACGAACAGAAGCAGCCACUUGUUGCACAAAAUUGCUCACCUGCUACGGGGUUUGCAUGCAGAGGAGGUGUGGGGGUUGAUCAACCUGGAGGGGAUGCAAUGGGGAUGAGCCGUGUAUCCAGAUUUAAAGGACGAACCCCUUUAGUCAUUUAGAUGCAACUCUGAUAAGUUUGCUUUCCACAACGGAUUACAUGACACUCCAGAGUUAAUUCCCUGGGGCUGAUGACGGGCACAGGAGAGCUGAGCCUCACAGAUCCCCGGGGUCUUCAGUCUCUCCUUUGUCCCAAGACCCCGGGACCUGCUUGGCUGCUCACACGGAAGAGCAGGGGCUGAGGGAAGCCUCCUGGGCUGAAGCCCCAAACCUAUUCAGACACUGCCUUCCCCGGCUUCAUGACAUCCAGCUGGAGGAACCCCAAAGCCCUGGUGGAAGAGUGGGAGGGUAGUAUGAAGGGGAGAGCUUCGGAUGCAGGACACCUGGGCUCCAGGGGAUCUUGGCAAGCCCCCUCUCCUCUCUGGGCCCAAGUCUGUCCUUAACUUGACAUAAGGGAGUUAAGUUGCAUGCAUCUCUAAACUCCUUUUCAGCAAUGACUUCUUAGAGUCGUAUGAACUUCACAUAUGAGAUCCCCGGGAAUGGCUGUUUGAGGGUGGGGCAGCCGGGAGAGAGAACCCCCCCCACCCCAGACACCGGUGACCUGCAGUCCCGCGGCAGGAGCCCAGCGUGGCCAGCAGGUGGAGCCCUUGCUGCACUAGGGUGCUCAGGCCAAAGGUGGCGGGAAAGUUGGAUUUUUAAAAAUGCAAUGAGGCCCUGAAUUCAGGGCAAGCUGUCCAGCCACUGAAGAGAGCUAGCUGCCAUGGGACCCUCUAAACACACACCCCUUCCUCCCAAAGCCUCCAUCAGCUGACACACUCAGGGUAAAAUACUGCAGCAGCUAUAGGAGGUCGCCCGGCUUGAGGCUGGACACGUUUCAAAGAUCCAGGUGCCUUUUCUCCUCCUCCCAUGCUUCCCGGAGCCCGUGCCCUGGACGCCUCUUCUCCCUGCCAUCCACAACCCGCCAGACCCCAUCUGGUCCCUUGCAGGGCAGGAUGUAACUCGAUGGAGGCCAACCCAGCUCCUCUUUCCAGAUGACUCUCUUCCCUUUCUGCCACCCUCCUCCCCUCCAAGGUCCAGCCAUCACCUGCCAGGGUAAGGUCUAGAUCUUAUUCCUUGCCCCUCUCCUGCCCCCUGAGAUCUGCUGAGGAACCUCUGGUUAGAGCAGUUGGAGAAAAGCAAGGGGGAAGUGGGGGCGGGGAGAGCGAAAGGGAAAGGUCUGGCUUCUGCCAGAUAAGAAUGGAAGGAUUCUUUGUUUGGCCCCAACUGCCUCUGCCACUGUUGACACACUUGGGAGUGUUUCCUGAAGCUACUGGGCAGUGUCUGGCAGUGCUC